rnacentral:lncRNA from 1 species
CUUUUUGGGCGUGACCUUGAUAUUGCCCACGCAAACCUUUUGGGCAGUUCUUUCACUGUCAGUGCAUGCAAUCAAUUAAACCUAGCAUACUGGGGAAUCCUCUUGUUGCUUCAAUCGCCAACAAAUUUUGUGUGUCCUUCAUAGUUGGCUCUCUCGGGUACUCGGGUACUCCGGUCUGAACACCUUCACCAUAGUGCGUGAAAAUUGCACUAUGAUGUUCAAGACCGUGGUCUGCCUAUCCGGAUUUCUGCAUCAAUUGCAUCUGCUGCUCUACCAUAAGCAAGCAUCCAGAGAGCAACAAUGCAUUUAUGCAGAGAAGGUAAAGAAAGUUUUUCACAACAUUUGUUCCUCGGCUUAACGUUGUCAACAACCUUCUCCACGCCUUCCACUACCCGCAAGAACAAGUUUCUACUCAUCCGGUAGCGACGACUAAGAAAGUUUCAUGGAAUAAUGGGAUAGUUGCGAAGUAGUCCUUGAACAGAAGUCGUGCACCGGCAAUCCUAUCACGCGGAAUCACUAUCCGCCCCUUGAUGAAACCUCUGAAGUUUAGGGUGUGCUCAUCUGCCUUCUAGAACUCCUCUUUGAUGUUCAUCAUCAUCGUUGUCAUCUUGGCCACCUCAUUGUCUGAAUCCGACGACGCGAUGAACUCGUUGAAUAUGCGUCAAGAUCAUCGUUUACAUAGCCACCAUUCCACGCAGAAUCCACCGGUGACCUAGAAGUAAUGACCGAAAGAAUUAAAAACUUUCUCGCACAUUUCAUCGAACACAUACAACACCGGGUGAAAAUAUGAGGGUAUUUAACGUGGUGCGUACGUUGGGGCAUCCGGUGGCGAAGCCCUGAUUGGGAAUGGCGGCUGAUCACCAAUACCGGCGGAAGUCCGAUGGCGGCAACAUGGAGGAGGGCAAACAGAGAAGAGAAGAUUGUUCUUCGAGCAGGAAGAGGGAGACAGAUAUGACCGAACUGAUGCGGACCCUAGCUGUUAGUCAUACGUGAAAGGCGGGCCCAAGCGCACACGGGUAUCCCAUAUCCGCUUUAGAUUUGGG